UCCCUGAUGGUCCAGUAGUUAAAACUCCAUGCUUGCACUGCAGAGGGCACAGGUUCAAACCCUGUUUGGGGAA
rnacentral:tRNA from 1 species